rnacentral:rRNA from 1 species
GACGAACGCUGGCGGCGUGCUUAACACAUGCAAGUCGAACGUGAUUUUUGUGGAAAGCCCUUCGGGGACGGAAAUGAAAUGAAAGUGGCGAACGGGUGAGUAACACGUGAGCAACCUACCUUACACAGGGGGAUAGCCGUUGGAAACGACGAUUAAUACCGCAUGAGACCACAAAGCCACAUGGCUUAGGGGUAAAAGAUUUAUCGGUGUAAGAUGGGCUCGCGUCUGAUUAGCUAGUUGGAAGGGUAAAGGCCUACCAAGGCAACGAUCAGUAGCCGGUCUGAGAGGAUGAACGGCCACAUUGGAACUGAGACACGGUCCAAACUCCUACGGGAGGCAGCAGUGGGGAAUAUUGCACAAUGGGGGGAACCCUGAUGCAGCGACGCCGCGUGAGCGAAGAAGGUUUUCGAAUCGUAAAGCUCUGUCCUAUGAGAAGAUAAUGACGGUAUCAUAGGAGGAAGCCCCGGCUAAAUACGUGCCAGCAGCCGCGGUAAUACGUAUGGGGCGAGCGUUGUCCGGAAUUAUUGGGCGUAAAGGGUACGUAGGCGGCCUUUUAAGUCAGGUGCGAAAGCGUGAGGCUUAACCUCAUUAAGCACUUGAAACUGGAAGGCUUGAGUGAAGGAGAGGAAAGUGGAAUUCCUAGUGUAGCGGUGAAAUGCGUAGAUAUUAGGAGGAAUACCGGUGGCGAAGGCGACUUUCUGGACUUUUACUGACGCUCAGGUACGAAAGCGUGGGGAGCAAACAGG